CUUCCCCGCCGCUCCGCGCCGCUCCGCCUCGCCCCCGCCGCCCUGCCUCCGGCCGGGAGGGGGGGCCGCCCCUCGCCUCGCUCAGCCGCCGCCUCCCCCCGCGCCACCGGGCCGAGCUCCCGCAGCCGGGGCCGGGCUCGUCCCACACGCGUCUCCGCGGCGCUCGCUCACAUCCUCCGUGCCAUAAACGCUAACUGGGCUGUAACCAUUGAUUGGAUUUGUGCAGAAAUGGACGAUCCCUGAUGAUCGCAUUUCUGCAAUCGUGAGCUAGCUGGACUUUCGAAAACAACACAUCUUCCCACAGCUUUGCACCAUUAGCUCUAUAAAGCCAGGUCUGGCUAAUACCUGUCAUGAGGGUUCCUGAGUGUCAAAUGGAUCACUGGAUUUGGGGCACGGCAGUGUGCUAGAGGAGCCAACGAUGAGACAGAGGAGGAACGGCUUCCCUCUUCUUCAUGGUGGAGGGAGAUAGAGCGAGACCUCCUUUCCCACCAAGGAACAGACCAGUUCCUCCUGGCAGAACUGCUACACCAGCACGGUACUUUCUGUGGCUUUCCUUUAGGUUUACUGGGGCAUGUUUCAGCACAGUUGAAAAUGUACCAUUCGGGCAACUGAGUGGAAUAAGCUGACCCUGUGGUACAGGCCCAGUUACCUGUUUAGGGUCAGAUCCUCAUCUGCUGCAGUCAGUGGAAAGAUUUCUCUUGGUAUCAGGGCAGAAUGAAAUGGCUGUGAGAACCUUCUAAAAUGCAAAACUAACGGAAAGGAAAAAUCUGAGUUUGUGAUCACACUUCAACCUACCAUGCAUUAGGUUCAGAAUAUUUAGUGUAGAUUAAAAUGUAGGUAGGCAUUAAAGAUGUAUUUAGAAUUAAUCAUCAGCGUGCAAAGCUUGCAGGCAGCUCAGAGGACACAUAUAGAACUUAACAAAAACAAGAAGAAAAUUCACUUAUGAACUAAUUUUGAGUCUGCAGACUGCAGUUACACCUAGCAAUAAGGUGUGUGUGUAAGUACAGGAGUUCACUGGCUGUCAGACACUUCUGUCCAGGCAGGGGAAUCUCUGGUAACAGAUCUGAUUGUGGGAGCGCUUUCUUGCCUUCCUGCCAAACCCUGUCCUGAUUGAUAAGCUCCCAGACUGCAUGGUGAGCAAGGUCAUUAGGACUUCCCCCUGCAAAAGAAGCAGCAGUUUAAAAAAUAAGGUCAUACAGCAAACAUAGUUUUCUGUCCUGAGCAGAAGAAAAUAAACUUCUGUUGUUUGCUACAAAGGAAGUACAAUUAAAAAAAAAAAGACAUUUUGACACAGACAGGCUGUUUAUAUUUGACAAAUGUUGAUUUACCAUGAUGAAAGACAGGCCCAAACUAGAAAGUUUGGAUCCCCAUGUGGAUCUGACAUUCCCCAAGUUUGAGGGGGAAGUGCGAUUCAGAGUCUGGAGUAAGGGCUUAUCUCUCAAACAUAGCAAAGUACUGUGGAUAAAAAUACCCAGGUAAAGUAGGAAGUGCCUGGUCUCCCACAAGGGUGACUUUGUAUCAACAAUGAGCGAAAGCAGGCUUUUUUUUUUUCCCCCUCUGAGAACAGUGAAAUCACUCAAGAAUUGUUACAAAUGCAAACAAUGUGGGUUUUAUCACUCAGUUAUCAUCAAUGGGAUUAUAGUCUAUAAACCCUAAUUUUCAGGGAAGUCCCUAGAUUUCCCUGGGCGCUUCCUCAAAUUUCACAUCUGUUGACUCUUUUAUUAAGUGCUCCAGGAUAAGGUGCAUCAACUGUUCCUUGGUAUUGUAUUACCUGAAAAUACUGAAUGUAGGGGUUAGCGGCAAAGAAUGGUUGAUUGCCAGACCGUGUAUCAACGCCACACCAGAAAAGUGAGCACUUCUGUUCUCAUCCAUUUUUAACACAUAUAUAGGUAACAUAUAAUUUGAUGUAACUUUUUGAAGUUAUUUUAAAAUGUUGAAAUUGUGCAGCUUUGGAUAAAGAUUUUUUUAUCCAGCCAGGCAUAAGAAGAAAGACUAGCAUGGUAAGAUGAAACGGAAUUAUUGAGCUAACCCCCAGUAGAACAAGUUCUGUUCCAUGAUUGCAAGUAAUGACAGCACUUUUAUGGGCCAACAGUGAAUUUUUUUCCUCCCUUUUUAAAAGGUGGGCUGUACUCGGAGACUGUGUGGCAUCCUAGGAUUAUGAGCUACUAUCUCAGUCUGGGCAUUAACAGCUUUUAAACAAACAACGAGGCUUUGGUUUCAGAUAAAAACAUAGCUCAAUAAAAAUACAAAUUAAAAGUG